CAUGUGUAUUUUUCCAAUUUUCCAGUCAAAAAAAUAUUAUUUGAAAUAUGUUUAAUUAUAAGUAAACUUUUGUUUCAUCUCUGAUAGGAGCUGUGGUGAUGAAAUUUUCCAACACAAAAGAAAAAGACAUAGAAGCAGUACGGUAAUCAAAUACUGGCUGAAGUCUCCAAAAACUCGGUUUACCAGCAAAGAGAAAUCUAAAAAUGUUCAAACACCGGAUCCUGGAGGAAAAUCUGAAUGCUACAAAAAUUGAGAUUGAAUUGAGGUGCAGUAACAUAUACCAGUAUGUAGCUCAAAAAAUUGCUACUUUAAACAGGAAGAGAUUAAAGUAUUCUGGAGCACCACAAUAAGGACCUUUCUUAAUAGAUAAAUGACAUGCAUAUGAGUUAUUUUAAUAAACAAACUUCUCACAUUA
rnacentral:lncRNA from 1 species